CUUCAAGGCGGCUUUCCCUGUCUCCUCCUGCAGUCAUGGAGGGUUUAGAUGCGUGUCUUUGCACGAGGUGUGCGGUCCGAACCCCCCGAGGACCCACCUGACAUCUGUGGUGAUGAUGUGUAUCCAAUGCCUUCAGCUGGAGCCGUCCCUCCCUCCUCGCUGCUUCAUUCCGCCCUCAAGCAAUGCGGAGAAUCACAGCAUCACAAGGAAGUGCUUGGUCAUCUUGCUCUCCUAGCUUAGUCUUGGGGAUAAAACUGCAAGAUUGAAGCCUAUAGAUAGAACUGAGCCUCCAUCAGUUGUGCAGAGUGCUGGUAUGCACACUGUUAACGGGCAAGGCUGCUAUACAGUGAGCAUUACUGUUAGCUGUGUGUGUGAUGGAGGAGGAAGUUUAGAAAAGCCUGUAGUGAAGAUGAAGCAACCAUAGAAAAGAAUGAAAACCUAUAAAAUGUUAUUUCCUUUCCCCCUCUGUAAGUUACUCUUCUGUCUGGCAAAGACAAUCACGCGGAUGUAUGGGAACUGCUGUUCUAUGCAACCUGUAUCUGAUGGGCACUGGAAUGGCACACAGCAAACAUGCAAGCCUCCCUUUCUGCUGCCUCACAUAACCUGUAGGGAUUAACCCAAGCACACUAAAUAGAAGAGCUUUCCACAGUACAAAGCUGUAAAAUUAAACUUACACCUUUAUCAUUUGUUUUCUUAAAAUAUCAUGCUAUCAAUAUAUCUACUUCAAAACUACUGUUCCGUUCUGAUACCCAGGCACCAUUACGCUUGCAGGGGUAGAUCAGUUGUAUGAGUUGUACAACAAUAAUGAAGGAUUAGGCCCCGUAGUUAUGAUGACAAAUAACUUUAUUUCUGCUAUUGAUCGUCAGUAACAGUUUUAACUUGAAAAAGGGGUGUCCGUGGUUUAAGGACAAGAUCAGCAUCCCUCUGAAGUACCCUGAGGUGGGCAGUCCCGGAGCAACCAGUUGUGUUGUGUAUUCUUCUGCUUGUUCUUGCACAGGGCUCCUUGUUGGCUGUCAGUCUUCACCUAAAAAGUUCUGUCUGAAUUAACAUUGCAUGAAAUCCGAGAAGUAAUAGGCCAGCUUCUCUGCCCGCACGUAUUGUCAGUGGCCAAAUACUGUAAAAUUGGUUGCGAAUGUAGAAGGCAUUUUGUCCAUAGGCCUAUGGAAAUGAAUUAUUGUAGUUCAAUUACAUUUAAUAGACCCAUUUUAGAUUGUCGGAGAGAUUUUACCUUUAAGGCAAAGCUGUUCUUCUCAGCACUGUUGACCUUGUUGUUGAAACCAAAAUCACAAAGGUCGCAGCGCUCUCUGUACGUGCAGAAAGCAUCUCUCUGAAGAGGCAGCAGUGGAGAAGCUGAGGAAUGAAAAGUAUUGUUUGACUGGGCUGAAUAACUGACAGUAGUGCGAAUUGCAAAGGGGCAACAUCAAUACAGAUUGAAUAUUCAGCCUGAAUGCUGACAUUUCUAAAAGUACACAUGUUGGAAAGAACAAGCAGAGACUUGCUGGGAUGAAUCCAUAAGAAGUAUUAGAAUGUGACCAGGUAUGUCUUACUUACUUCUGUUUUUCUUUAGGCCACAUGCAGAUUCUGUUAUCCAUUCUCCAAUGAUUUUUGUUGGUUGUUGAUGGCAGCUUCUGCAGAGAUGUGCAGCAGUGUGACCACUGACUUCUGCAUUUAUUUAAUACAUAUUCACUGUAGAUUUUUAAAUAUGUGCAGAGCUAUGUGUAAUUUUACAAAGCAGAGUAUUACGGUCUGCUGCAAAGAAGACAAAGGAGUUUCCUUUCACAGACAGAGUUUUAUUUCUUUAACCUAAACUGGUUAGCAUUCUGCAGCUGAUGUAGCAGAGCAUGUGUACACCUUUAAAUUUACUUGGAACCAAUGGAAUCUAAAGUGUGCUGUACUUGUCUGGUUGGCAAAUCAUAGAAUCAUAGAAUGGCUUCAUUUGGAAGAGAACUUUCAAGAUCAUUGAGCUCCAAUCCCUUACCAUGGGCAGGGCUACCACCCACCAGAUUAGGCUGCCCAGGGCCCCAUCCAACCUGGCCUUGAGAGCCUCCAGGGAUGGGGCACCGCAGCUUCCCUGGGCAGCUGUGCCAGGGCCUUGCUGCCCUUUUAGAGGAGAAUUUCUGCUGAACAUCUAAUCUAAAUCUCCCCUCUUUUAGUUUAAAGCCAUUCCCCUUUGUCCAAUCACUAGCAGAACAUGUGAAAAAUCAGUCUCCCUCCUGUUUCUAUGCUUCCGUAUGGACACCCUGUGGUAUUCCCAGAGCAUUCUCUUCUCCAGGCUGAACAAGCCCAGCUUCCUCAGUCUUUCUUCAUAGGAGAGGUACUCCAGCCCUUACUAUGUACCCUCUGUUUGUGUGCAGAAGGGAGUUGUGCGUGGUCUAAAGGAAAGGAGCUGGAUGGCAGGUAUGUCACCCUCAGGGCAUGCUCAGCUCUCUAGGGACACGUGGUAUGAGCAUGUUUGUUCCUUUGGUUUGAGCAGGAUUGUUCCUUCAAAGAAUGAAAUGUCUCAGUCAUAUUUUAUUCUGGAUAAAGAGUAUUGCACAUAAACAUAUUUCUCAGCCUAGUGUAGAGAUGGCCAGCAGCAGCACUUCCUUGUGCAUUAUUCAUAAUUCUGCUCUACCUGCAAUUGGCUCUUUAUCCAGAGCAACUGAGCAACUGCUUGUCAGGUAAGUGGUUUGCUUUAUGCUGGUUGUUUGGUUCUCAGGCAGCAUGGCUGUAGAUGGGUUACCAUAAAGCAAGAAACUAUGUUUCUGAGUGAAGUCAUAGCUAGUUUGUGCAUGUUGUCUCGAGGUAUCUCAUCCUCUGAGCUGCAUAAACUUUGGUUCAGAUGAGCACAUGGAGUGUAAUCUGAUAACCGACAGAAAAAUAAGGCUCAAAUAGAAAAUAAAACACAGUCCAUAUGGGGAAGAAAAUACUUCUUGUCUCGGAACAGCCUCACAGUUCUUAGGAUUUAUUUGUUUAUUUAUUUAAGUUUUAAUGUGAUGAAGGGAGUAAUAGUAGCAGUAAGAGUUCUCACUUGAAAUCAAGCCCCCCCCCAAAAAAAGAAUGUUUUCAGUAAGCAAAACUAUACUUUUAAUUCUUCAGAGAGGAGGGAGGCUGGGGGGUAAUUUAAAUCUUGAAGAAAUGUAUUAGGAUGUAUUGAGAGAUGCUAUGUGCAAAACAGAUGAGCAGAAUUGCAUUGAGACUACCAGGAGGAUAUAUUAUCCAGGCACAUUUUUAAUAUAUAAGAUAGCAUGAAGGAAGAGGAAAAAAAACAGGCCAUGAAUGGAAAAAAUCCUGUCUCAGCAGCAGGCAUCUGUAGCCAUCCCUGAGAUAAAUGGUGUGAUGGGACAAGGCCAUGUGAUGGCCCUCUGCCUGGCUGGCUAAAAAUAAGCCGUGUGCACACUUCAGAUGCUUCUUUCCCUGCAGUGGGUGGGAGGACUGGAAAAUCUACACAGGAGCAGAUGCUCCACCCUUGUGCCUUUCACAGCACCUGCCAGUUUCUUCUCCCUGCCCUUCUCUGAAGGAAGCUAUACAUGAGAGGAAGUCUAGGUUUGGUUCUUAAUCCCUGUAUGACAGCAGCAGCUCUAGGGUUGGAGCUGAGAAUUAGUGGUUCUUCUAAAAUGAUAUUAUUUAUUAGCAUUUAACUGUUUUUAAAUGUAAUUGAUUCAGGCUUUAAUGUCAAACGCCGCAUCCUCAAAAAGCCAACAAACAAAACAGUCUCAAACAAGAAUAUUUCACAGAUUUAUUCACACAGUAAAAUAAGUAAUCUGGCAUCUUAUGGCUUAUUAAAGUGAUUUCUCAUAUUUUGGCAAGAAUCUUCCCAAGAUGAAGAAAACCUUCCUUCCCCUACCCCCCUUCCAUCUCUCCCUUUCUUUUCCCCCCUUUCCUUUUCUUUUCCCUCUUCUGGUCAGAGUAUCUAUUGAUAGUUGUCCCACUGAAGGUUGCUGAAUUUGAUUAUUUUUUUUUCCCCCACUUGUUUGCAAACAAUCUCAUCUGCCUAGAAGAUGAUGAUCUGUGGUGAAAACUUGCUGACCCAUCACUGUAGGAAUACAGUUAAAGUAUUUUAACCACUUAUUCUGAAGGCUCCAAAGCAAAUAUUUUGCCUUUGAACUAACAUUUGAAAUGCAAGUCAGGAACAUCAGGGGUUUGUGUGUUGGUGGGUGAAUUCAGUGGCCUUGAGACUUGUUGUGAGGUUGAUUCCUCUCCUGAACUAAAUCAAGUGAAACGCCUCUCAUGGCAGAUGUAUUGCAGCAGUGCAAAGUAAGCAUGAAAUAGGACUGAGCGCAGAGAUUUUCUGCAAGGUGUUUCCUCUUACUUCAAUGUGUUCACUUCUUCAGUGUGUGAGGGACAAAGACACCAGGUGCAGUGCCAGUAGGACAUCUGUCAUGACAGCAGAAAGGGAAGCAGGGAAGGACCGCUGUGGGUAUUUGUGCUGCCCAGAAAAUGCAGAUCUCUGGGUACGUGGACUUAUUUCAGGUAUGCUAUUACAGAUUUCCAAAGUAUAUGUUAAAGGCAGCAAGUUGUAAUCAUAAUAAACAUUUUAAAAAUAAAAUCUAAAAAUAAACAUUUAGUGGUUUCGUGCAGGGGCAAAUACAUAUAGUCUGCAUGUGGGACAUUGAUAAUUGUUUAAUCUUGCUUCCAUAGCAAUAACCAUUAAUAUAUAGUCUUGUUAUGUGGUUAUAUUCAAUAACUAGACUGUAAUUUAUACAGAAGGUUACCAUUUUUUAAAAAUUCUCCAUUUUAAUUUUUUCAGUGUAUCCUUCUUCAGAUCCACCGUGUCUUUCAUAGCCGUCUUCUUAUCAUCAUUCAAAUCCAUCUAUAAAACACAUGGAAGCCCCUAAUUUUCUCAACCACAAAGUCACUGAGCCAGUGGCACCCAGGGCUUUCUCAUACCAUCUUCGCAUUGCAAUGAAGUUCUUUCUAAUUCCCUGUGUUUUGGAGACCCUUUUUGCUCUCAAAUCCUUUUCUUUACAUUUGUGCAGAUAACCAUGCUGAUCGCUUGCAUCAGAUAGAAUCUACUGUCCAAGCAAUUGCUCUCAUUCCUACUCUGAGACCACUGUCCUUCCUAAUCUUGAAGGAAGCCUUAACUAAUAAGAAAGGGAUGCACUCGUUUAAAUGAAUGGUAGGCUUCCCAAAGCCUCUGUGCAGUACCUGUUAGUGAAGAUGACUCACAGUUACAAAUCUGCAUUGUGGAACAGAGUCAGAAGCAGAAAGAUGUCCUGGCUAGUUUGGCAAAGUGGACUGUAUAGAGAGAAGAUAAACUGGUUUUUGUUGGUGGUGGUGGUGAUGUUUCUUCAAAUAACAUUUAGAAAAAAUAGAACCACUGUCAGGUGUUGAGCCAAUCUUCAUUUCCUAUUGCUUUAAUUGCAUUUCUUCUCUCAUUUGGCAUCUCUUAGGAACAAGGUGAUGACGAUACCACUGUCUGCCAUCGCUAUAUUAAGGAGGUGUUUCUUCCAAAAUGAUAAGAAAUGAUGUCAUUCCCAUAAUACAGUCGUCACUGAGCUUUAGAAUCGUUGUGAUGACUCAGGGCAAAGCUGUCAGCUCAGACUCAGUGAAGACUCAGGCAAAUAGCACCACAACCUUUUCAGCUUGUGUGCCAGAGAUUAAUAUAGAAACAUGAAGAAUUUGAAAUAUAUGAAUAAAUCAGGAUCUGUUCUGUGGAAAUCCUGCAUUCCAGAGGGGCAAAUCAAAACAGGGGCAGUUAGGAGGAAGGCAGUGUGAUGACCCACAGGGCUGCAAAAGUGCGGCACACAGUGAGGAGUGUAGUUACACCACGUAGUGAAGUGUGGUACAGAAAUAACUGAGCUAACUGCCACUGAGCUGAUCCAAAAGGGAAUCAGUACAGUGAUGAUAGCCUGGUGUUGAAUGUUGAGGAAAACUGGCUGCCUUGGUGACGGGGCUUAUCAGCUCGAGAGGAAUGUGCCAGCAUAUCUAUACAACUCCUCGAACCAGGAGGAUCCUGGGAGGCUGUCCCAGUUUUCUUGGACCUCUUCACAUUGCCUAACAUGUUGUAAGACAAGUGUGCCAUAAAAGAAUUCAACUUGUUUAGCCAGGCAAAAUGAAUAUUAACAGAGUGAAUGAUUUCUUUCUUUCAGUACACCACUACCAAGAUAAAAACCUCGUUUAAUCUAAGGAACAGUUCUGGUAAAAGAGCAUGACUGAUGGACUGACUAGGAAUGCACUGAACCUAGAAAUCAGAAAGAAUUUUUUACAAGGGCAGGGAUGCUUUGGGACUAUCAUCUGAAUGAGUAGUUAUUAAAGGGGAUUUGGUCCAUUUCUGAAAAGGUGUAAGUGAUACAGCUGCUUGCAUGAGAGUGGACCAUUCACAGUGGUUCUGAAGUUUCUUUCCAUCUUUAUGUCCCUGAAUUCCACAGUCCUGUUUCAGGUGGCAGUCAACAAUAAAUCCAACCAGAUGAGAAGUCAAUCUAACCUAGUAUCCUGUUUGAAUAAGUGGUUUCUUAUUUUGCAAAAUGAGUUAAAAUUGUGAGGAGGUCAUCAUGCUCACGGUGAUAUUUUUCCAUCAUGUUCUAGCACUGAAGUCAUGAAUGUUUUGGUUCACAUACAGUUUGGGCCUUCCCUAUAUUUAAUGGAAGUGAGUUUAUUAUUACCAAAUAAAUGUUCAUGCCUUCCAAUGAUUUUAUUGUGAAAACUAGAGAAUGAUUGUUCCCAUCUCACCUUUUGCAUAACAUUCAUAGUUUAAUACGUCUUUAUUAAAUCCUCCUUCAGUUAUUUUUCUAAUUCCACCACAGCUUUUGUGAUAAUGGAAGGGCCCUAACUGCAUGUACUAUUCGUAAUGAGGCUGUGGCCUGAAUGCAUACAGACUUCUUUUUAAUUAUUUCUAAAUUCCUGAUUGCCUUUUUAAGCACUGAAACAUUUCCAGAUUUCUUUUCUGGAGAUGCUGACUAAUUCCACACAUAUAUUCAUGUAACUCUGUUUUCCCCUCCUCCCUUCAUGUGUUACAGUUGCUGACACUGAAUAGCCUCCGGCCUUUUAUCACCAUUCAGUAUUGAACCAUCCUCUGUAGCUUUUCACAGCUGGCUUUAGAUUUCCUCAGCCAGAUAAUUUUGUGUCAUCUGAAUUUGUCUUUUUCUUAUUAUCCGUCUACUUUUCAUUUAUGAAUAAACAUAUAUUUAAGAGCCCAGAUCUCUCACAGCUAAGCCAGCGUCAGUGAAUCUUGGUACUUUCCUAAUGUGAAUAUUUCUCUGUGAGGAAAAGAGUACAGGCAAUGUAAAAUCUGACCUAUUACAAUUGGCCUCUUCCUUUUUUAGUUCUUCUCAAAGUAAAUUUUUACUCCUUUUGUUUCAUUUUUUAUUUAUUGCUUAGGUAGAUGCCUUUUUAACUCCUUUUCAGGGUGUAGUUCUGCUUUUCAAAGGACACACAGGAUAGAGGGAAAAAAAGACAACAGAAAUUCACCAGCAUUUGAUGAUUUAGUUAUCACGUGUUGAGUUAAUGUCUCUAAUUAACAUUUUUAUUUCAUCUCAGUAUGAGAUUCUGGCACAUACAGACUAUUGAGUGUGAUUUUCAGGCAUGAGUAUAUAAAAAAAUGUAAUUUUUUUGAAUGCUGGCAUGUAAAGUUCUCUUUGGUUGUCUGGCUACAAUCUCCUAUUGGCUUAAUCCAGUAUGCUUACUUAUUAAGCUAUGAAUACCUGCAAAUCCUUUAAAGGAUUAACUGUAUCUGGAUGCUAAGCUUUCAAGGCAGUUAAAAAUAACUUCAAACUGAUGCUACUGACACACUAAAAGCUGGACCUUCUCUACGCUUUAUGCUGUGUUUGCUGCUGCUUUGCCAGAUGAAAUUCUGUCUGGAGCUGCUUAUAACUUCUAGGGAGCUUCAAGAAUCCACUGCAAUAAAAGACUUGCUAGGAAUGCAGAGUUUCUCUUGGUACUCCAUAGAGUGUAUGGCAAAGCAGUACGUUGCAGUGUUAACACUCUGCCUCUAUGCCCUGUUAUUCCCAUGGAUCACCUGGGAGAAGGAGUUGGCCAUCGCCUUCUUCACAAAUCAGAAAUGUUAAACUGUGAAAUACGUGACUAUGAAAACUUAGAAACAAGACUUUCCAGGACAGUGUCAGAGGAAAGCAAUGUUUGUGCCACUUCUGUUUCCCUGGGUAGAUGCCUGAGGUCUAGUUUCAUUCAGGUCACCAGAUAUCUUUUUCUUCAUCCUCUGGAAUCAGGGCUAGCACUGUCACAUGACAGAGACAUGUAAGCCAAACAACUCCUCAGCUUGACUGGAAAUGUAUACGCCAACAAAACUAAAAGCUUGCUUUCCACAGAAGAAGAGAUUUCUCUUUUUCAAAAGCGCUGAACUCAAACCACAUGAAGAAGUUUUAACUCAGAUAGGAGUGGAAGCAUCUUUUGCUGCCAAAAUGAAAUAAGACAUGCUUAUCUGUGGUGAGAGAUAGAACUUCCUCUUGAAAAGAAAUGCCAGCCUUCUACUCUACUUAAGUUUUAGCAUUCCUACCAAAGACAGCAUGAGUCACAUUCUUAAACCAAGACACUCUCUCCUUUGUGCCAACAGUAGAUCCCUACAAUCUCUUGCCAUCGUAGUGUGGCUCACUUCGUUGUCUUUGGCCAGAUAUUUUCUCUUUGAUGUAUUGUACAGAUACAAGGAUCUAGCACAGACACAAUAAGCAAUAUAACUCCAUUAAAAUUAGUAUCUGCUACUUCAUAUCUAAAAUACUUCUGGAGGCGGAAUAAAGUUUGUUCUGAAGCAACCUCAUACUAAACUGAGUCAGGUUGUAUUAUCCUUUCAACUCCAUCUAGCAGAGUGAUAUCAACAAAGCUUAGGAGAGUGACAAUGGGAAUAAGAAGUAAUGGUUUCAGGUUGCUCCAGGGGAGGUUCAGGUUGGAUAUUAGGAAGAAUUUCUUUUCAGAGAGAGUGGUCAGGCAGUGGCACAGGCUGCCCAGGGAGGUGGUGCAGUCAUUGUCCCUGGAAGUAUUCAAGAGCCUUUUGGAUGUGGCACUGAGGGAUGUGGUCUGUGAGCAUGGUACAGGUGGGUUAAUUUUUGCUGUCACUGUCCACUAAUUGCCUUUGCCUUCCUACAGAAGUUAAGCAAAUAUUUUUCUUGUGAGAUUUCAUCAGUGUCUCUUUGGAGAAGCUGCAGAAUUGCUAUAGAGCUCACUACUGCACUAUACAGGCAACAGCUGACACUGAGCUAUCAGGUAGAUUGUAUGGUUCUACCUAUUUUGAUGCCAGUUUUUCUAAUUAGGCUUUUGUUCCUUAAUACGCAUUUUUAUUUGAACUUGAUGAAAAACUCUCAGAUUAAAUUUUACCCAGUGUGGAGAGAGAAAAUUGCUUUUACAAAACGCAUUUGCCAAUACAAUUAUUUGGUACUGUAGUACGAAUAGAAACACUCAUUUCCAUGAUUUAAAUAAGAAACGCUAUGGAACCCAAGGCUGUCAGGCUUUCAUCAGAAGCUUACUGGUUUCCUGCCAGCUUGCCUACCCAUCUGCCUGGCAGGCUGUCUGUCCUCCCAAACACUGCAGCUGCCUCCGUGCCAGGGACAGCAGUGCUGCCAGGGCUGCGGCUGCGUGGCAGGAGGCCAGAGGGACUGCCUCUCUAGUACCGCCCAAAGGGCCCCAAAAGGAUAAUGUGAUGUGCUGUACAGCAUAGACAGCUCCCAGGCACGCUGCUGGGUCAAGGAGCUUUCAAAUCUGGAAAUGUCUUACCUUGUGCCAGCUUUUAGUAGCUUUCUGAGAAAUUCUUUUAUCAGAGGACAUCCCUUCCUGUCAGUCAGGAUGAUUUUUGUAUCUGAAAGGAGGGAUGUAUGCAUUUACACAGCACUCUUUAGCAGUCCUGCUUCAAAGGAACAGGUAGAAAUGACAACAAAUGCAAUUGCGUGUCUAGAGGAAUGUUGCUCUUUAAAUCAGAACAUGGCUUCUGACAGAGCAUUAGAUUUUGCCUGUGUUUUGGGUUUUCUUUUCAUUCUAGUAGACAUUCUUGUUCUUCCUAUGAGUCUGAAUUUAGGUUCAACCAGACUUCAGCAGUGUCAUAUGGACUAGCAUGCAUGUGUAUUCAUGGUGUUUGAUACAUCUUCAGUAUUAGUAAUCUACUGUGGAAGUACUGUAAUAAUAAAAGAAACCUCAUCUCAAUAGAUUUUCUCCUAUCUUUUCAGGACUGAGAACAGAACAAUUUAAUAGCACAGAGCAGUGCUAGUGAAACUGGGGUUGUAACUCUUCAUGUUUGUAUAAUAGCACUAACCACUGCGACACCAGUUUAAUAAUAAAAUCACACAAAACAGUUUUGCUUUAUUUUUUUUUCUGUUUAUUCUUUAGUGGUUUUUUGCAUUAAAGUGUUUGAAAGUUUGUCUUUCUUAAUAGAGCUAACUCCACAAAUAGAUCAAUUCCAUAGUAGUAGGGGUGGUUGGAGAAGAACUUUCUUCUGCUCCAGAUAAUAUAUGUGAAGUGCUACCAGAUGACAAAUAAAUAUCAAAGUCUCUCCAUUUGAUUGAAUCUAAAUAAUGAUAUUGAAAUAAAUAGAAAAUUGAUGUAGCAAAGCAAGUGUGAUAAAGAAAAUAUUUUAACAGCUCUUGUCUGGAGGUGAUAAUUUUUUUACGAUACCCUCAAAGAAACGUAAUAAGGAACUUUUCAUUAACGUAAUACACUAGAACAUAAGAUAACUGAUGCUUAAUAUAAUUAAUUUGUGAAAUAGAAACACUGGUACCCCAGUUUGGUAAUGAUUUACUUCAUGGUUUGUUCCCCGAGUUAGCAUAGCUCCAUUCCUGAAGUUAGUCAUCAGGUAGAAUAAUGGGCUUGGGAUUUAGGUGAAUAAACCUUUUGCUUUCACAGGGUUAUCCACAUUAAAGAGCUGAAGAACCAAACCCUGCCUUCACUGAUUGGGCCACUGGCUUAUCUAAACCAAUACAGUAUGAAGGUUGGAAGCACUGUAAUUUGAAAGAGAUAUUAUUAGCUCUACUGUUUCUCAGCUAAUGUGAUAGGGCGGAUUGGAGAUGGCUGACCUUGUUGUGCAUUUAGCAGAUGCUUUCAGUGAGCUGUCCAAAAUGAAACCAAAUUCAAUUGAUUUGUAUCUGUGCUGUGCCAGCCUUAUGUGUACUGAAAACACUGGAGCUAAGCUAAUAAUAAAAUCAGAACAAAAGAAAGAUAAAUUAUACUAUCUGGUUCUUGCUGUAUGGACAAACCACUUCUUAUUGAUCUAAUUCAUUUUGCACUCAUCAGUAUCAAAAUGUUGCUAGUAUGUUUCUCACAAACCUACGUGCCUCACCAUUUACAGACUCAAAGUAGUUGUAUGGCUGUUUUCUGCCUGCAGACUUAAUACCAUGUCAGAUUAUCAUGGCAGUCAUAUUUUCAUCUACGUGUUUGCAUAGUUCCAACUGCAUAGCUGUUGACUUCACAAGGAUUUGGAUACAAACUUAAAGUUAAGCAUAGGCUUAAGUGCUUCUUUUGUUUGUUUCUCCCUCUCUUCUUCCUCCAGUUGUCGUUUAUGUAUCCAUAUAUAAUUAUCGGUUCUUAAAGGCAAUGUAUGGACCUCUCACCUAGCCAAAAUGUCUAUAAUCAGAUGGACUGCAUUUCCAAAUAAAUCCUACCUGGUGAAUCUUCCCCCAGUUUCGUGAUGUUUGUGGUAGAUAUAAAUGAAAUCCUCUUCAUCUGGGGCUUUUGUUUUAAGUCUCUUCAUGUUUAUUGCAGUUACGGAUGCCUGUUUUUCAUUAUGCUUUAAGAAGUUUACCUUAAAUACUGCUAGUUGUAAUAAAGAUUUUAAAAGUUAAUUACAGAGGAGCUGUUUAAUAGCCGGUGACUACGUGUCAUCUCCUAUACAAAGCAUAAAUGUUGUUGCACAAAGAAAGGAAUACCAAUAUUAUGGCUGUAGGCUGUGACUGUAAUAAGUGAGUAGAGGUUUGCUUAAUACUUAGUAAAUUAAGAGAUUUUACUGAAAGAAUAACCUCAUACUCCUGUGAUAUAUCUGUCUUCUGCAAAAUAGCAUUAAUCCACAGUAAUACUUAGUUGGGCAUUCAUGCCUGACCAAAUGAACAUGUGUGUUAUUAGGCUGUCCAGAGAGUCAUGGAUGUAUUCAGAUAAAAAGAGUCAUAAAUGCUCUAAUUAUCUUGACAAAUCAGAGAUCUAAUUGAAAAUAUUAGGAUGGAUUAGAAUAAAAUAUAAAUUUUAAUCGUAUUUCCUAUUUUAUUUUAUUUUAUUUUAUUUUUUCCAAGAAGGUUUAUGGCAUGUCCAUAUAUCUCUUCUGUACACCUUUAUCUUCUUAUCUGUACACUGUUAGUAUUCACUAGAUGUACUGUGGUUUCUCCUGACAUAUGUGUCCUGUAAGGCAAGGGACAACAGAAUCAAGAAAUAAACAUCUGACCGUGUCACAAAUCCAAUUAGCUCUGACAAGGCCAGUAAAGUCAAGUCAAUAACAAGUCUGGAAGCAGCUUUGUGUUUCAGAUUGUGCUGGAGAUGGUAGGACACCAGCUGGACAAAGCAAAACCACUCCAGGCACCCAAAUUCUCUGCAUCCAAGAAGGCCAGUUUAUAGCCUGUCGAGAUCACAAAUGCUGUAGCAUUUUCAAGUGUCAGAUCUCAUCUCUUCAAUGUUUCUAAGUAGCAGAGAGGAGGAUGGAGGCAUUCCCCUCACAGAAUACAAAAUAUGCGCUAAUGUCAUUGCAAGGUAGUGCAGUGAAGCAGAAACCACAGCAAGCAUCACACAGCCUCUCCUCCCCACUGCCACCACCAUGUCUGGGUAUGGCAAUACCUUCAUUUCAGUGCUGCAAUCUUCGGACAGGAAUUCUGAUGAAUUUCAAGUGAUUGUCUAAUCCCACAGUCUAUGCAUGUUAAAUGCAGCUUCCCUUAUUCUAGUUGUUGACCCCCAAUUUUGUCCCAUUUAGUGAAACUGAACCACUGAUCUGCUGUUCUCAUUCCUGGCUCAGAUUUAAAAACAGGUGAAUUUAUCAUCUGCAGUGUAACAGUCUCGGCCUGGUGAUACUCCUUCGGUGCUGGCCAAAUUACAUGAGAUUUUACCUGAGACAAGAAUCCAUUCCCUGACUUCCUGACUAGAGAUUUAAAUUCUUCGUUGUUUCCUCAUAGAAGUAAACCACGUACAUCAUUUACUUCCUUUAUGUAAAUCAGUCAAUGCUGUAUUACACUUGGAAGUUCUGCAGCUUUCUCACUCAAACCUAGCUCACAGUCACACAGUAAGCUUAACUUAAAUGCUCUCUUCCCAUAUACAACCAAGUAAUGUAACAAAUAAUGAAGACCCAAUAAGUAUGACGCAACAUUGACUAUUAUUUCUGUUAACUAUUGAUAUGUGCAGCUCAGCAUAACCUACUUUUGCAGUUGCCAGGAUAGACAAACAUAUGGUUCAGCAGCAGCAAUACGGGCCCUAAAACUGUCACACGGAGCUACUUCGACUUUGGGAUGUCAGAAGGGAUUUUUCCUUUGGAAGCAGUGUGCUAAGCAGGGUUAGCUCGCAUCUUGCAGCCGCUCUGCAGCUGAGUUACACUGGAAAUUUCCCAGCAUUUUUCUUAUAUUUCUAUUUGAUUGAAAUAUAAAUGAUAUUAAUUUCAGCAAAUUUUUUUUCCAGAGGGAGAUUUUUCGGACUUCAAUUGGGAUUUCUGGUCUGGAAAUAAAAAAUAAAUACAGUAACACAGUGGUUAAGUUAUUAUAUUAUUGGAUUUGGAACAGGAAGCUGAAAUUGCUUCCCCUGUGUCCUAAUUUCAUGUUUCUUGCCCAUAGGGUACAUGUUUGUAUACACUACAUCAUUCAAAUAGUUUCCUCUCAGUUUUAUCCCCACACAGAGGCUUAAAAGAGUCAGUACCUCCCAUAUUCUGCAGUACUGUAGUGCCUGAUCCCUGGCUCACUGUGCUGUUGGUCCCAUCUUUCCUGACAUUGAUAAUGUAACAUGGGGUGGAAUGGGUACGUUUAUUUUAGUUGUUAGGAUGCUCUCAGAGGUCACAAAAAAGAGCAAGAAAAACAACAACAACAAAAACUUGUGCAAGAUGGCUUCUACAGAUAAUUAAAAAUUAAACAUUUUGUUAUGCUUUUACAUUUUUCUUACUGCACUGAAACCUGAUCUUACUACAGCUUUGGACACAAAUUAAAUUGAGCAAAUGGAUACUGACUGUACAUGCAGUGCAGGCAUAUGCUGACAUAUGACUCCCAUAUGCCAGUCCACAGAGAUUCUACAGCUCCUGAGACUGUUUUGUUCUUUAAAUAGCUUUCCAUCCUUUUAAUGUUUUGGACCAUUUUUCUAUUCUCGUUAACGUUUUUUCUUCCUUCCUUUAGCACCACAUUCAUUUAAAAGUGACUUGGAUUUGGAAGAAAGGACUGAGAGAAAGAAGGUAAAACAGUUUUAGAACAGAGAUUUCUACCAUAGCCAAGUAUAUCUGGAACCCAAAAAGCUGUUGAAAUAAAAUAAAACUUGCAUUAAUCUUAAGAAGUAAAUAAAUAAAUAUAGGGGAUGAGAUUUUAAUCCUGAAUUUAUCCAGGGUUAUAUCCAGUAUUUUACUUGGAAGCUACAUUUAAUCAGGUUUUGAUUAUUCAUUGUUAAUUAAUUUACUCAGCAAGUUAAAAUCUAAUCUGAAAAAGGCAAAGCCUUUGUGUUUAACAGCGUAUCAUCAAAUCCCAGAGUUUCGUUUUGAACUGGAAGCAGCCUGAGCCUUACUGCCUUACACAGAGUUUAAAUGAAGGGCCAUGGGAGCUGCCAACAGUGUGUUUCCUGCUGGUUUUCACAACAAAAAAGUGCAUAUCUUCAUUCAUGUGAUCUGCAGAUGUGCAGUAUGAAAGCAUUUAGAUGUGAGCUGCACAGAGACCUGCUAUUUUAGGCAAAGAAUGGAUAAACAAGCCUUCUAUCAUCUCUUCAGAAGAUAACUCCACCAGAGCAGUCCAACAUCUUUAGGAAAACUAUGUGAACUACGAAAUACACUCAGCCUUACAUUCUUCAGUUCAUAAAAGCUUUGGAAGAAAAAAAUACUUCAGAUUUACUUAAGUCCCCUGGAAACUUGAAAGUAAAAGGAAGCAUAAUGAGAACAUGCACAAAGGCAUUGCUGCACUGUGUCAGUGUAGAAAAACUGUACUGAACCCAUUCUUUGCCUUUUCAACAACUCAUAGCAUCAAUCAGCAAAAUGCUUCAUUUGUAACUUUAAAGAGAAAAAGAACUGCCUGAAAUGUCUCAGGAAAGAAGCCUAAAGUCUGGUGAAAUGCUGAGAAUAAUAACUACCAGAAACAUGCAAUUGUAUGAAUUGAUGUAUCUUUUCUGAUGCACAGAUUUUUUCUGUCUGGAGACAUAACCAUUCCUCACCAAACACCAGCUUCCUAAUGGUUGCAAUACCAAGGGCACUGAGUGUUGGGCUUUCUGCAGUCUGUUUAUUAGCAUAGGCUGGCACAGGAUGAGUGCUUAAGGAUGGCCUGAAGAGCCAACAGUUUGCUCCAAGUGUCAGAGUCAACACAGAGUACACUUGCUUUCUGUGUCUUGAGGUCAAAGUACUCUGUGAUGUGGAAGGGCAUAAAGCAGUGCUUAAUGUGUUGGACAUAAACACAUACGUCAAGCAGACAUCUUACUAUGGUGAAUAAAUCAGUUCCUGCUUGUGCUGAAAGGCACUGAUGUAAUCACAAAAUGAUUUAGAGACCUCAUUCUUUUCCCCUUAAACUGUGUAACACAGGAAGUUUUUGUGAGUUAAGGAUUGGGGUUUGGAAUCCUGUUGAAAUGAAGGCUCUUCUAUCAAUCUGAGCCUUGAAGUGGACACUGAACUUUCACAAGCUUUAGGCCAACCUUCUCUACAGGAAAGUAAAGAACCCAGAAUGUAGAGUGAUUUCUUCAUGGUUUUCCUUCCUUGACCACAUUGAUUUUUGGAGAAUUCUAACUGGAUGCACAGAUUUCUCCUGGAUGAAACCAGAAAGGGGAAAAGUUGUGGAAUUCUAUUU